rnacentral:rRNA from 1 species
UGGGGAAUAUUGCACAAUGGGCGCAAGCCUGACGCAGCCAUGCCGCGUGUGUGAAGAAGGCCUUCGGGUUGUAAAGCACUUUCAGCGAGGAGGAAGGUGGUGAACUUAAUACGUUCAUCAAUUGACGUUACUCGCAGAAGAAGCACCGGCUAACUCCGUGCCAGCAGCCGCGGUAAUACGGAGGGUGCAAGCGUUAAUCGGAAUUACUGGGCGUAAAGCGCACGCAGGCGGUCUGUUAAGUCAGAUGUGAAAUCCCCGGGCUCAACCUGGGAACUGCAUUUGAAACUGGCAAGCUAGAGUCUCGUAGAGGGGGGUAGAAUUCCAGGUGUAGCGGUGAAAUGCGUAGAGAUCUGGAGGAAUACCGGUGGCGAAAGGCGGCCCCCUGGACGAAGACUGACGCUCAGGUGCGAAAGCGUGGGGAGCAAACAGAUUAGAUACCCUGGUAGUCCACGCUGUAAAACGAUGUCGAUUUUGGAGGUUGUGCCCCUUGAGGCGUGGCUUCCGGAGCU